CACCUACUCCCUCCGUUCGGAUUUACUUGUCACCAAAAUGGUCGUAUCUAGAAUUAAAAUACAUCUAGAUACAUCCAUUUCAAUGACAAGUAUUUCUGAACGGAGGGAGUAAUAC
rfam:Triticum aestivum genome assembly, contig: Triticum_aestivum_CS42_TGACv1_scaffold_049438_1BS